GAGUUUGAUCAUGGCUCAGGAUGAACGCUGGCGGUAUGCUUUACACAUGCAAGUCGUACGAGAGUUUUUAACUCAAGUGGCGGACGGGUGAGUAACACGUAAGAAUUUGCCUUUAGGAGGGGGAUAACAACUGGAAACGGUUGCUAAUACCCCAUAUGCUUUCGAGUGAAAUGGAUUUAUCCGCCUAGAGAGAAGCUUGCGGCUGAUUAGCUUGUUGGUAAGGUAAUGGCUUACCAAGGCGACGAUCAGUAUCUGGUUUGAGAGGACGACCAGUCACACUGGAACUGAGACACGGUCCAGACUCCUACGGGAGGCAGCAGUGGGGAAUUUUCUGCAAUGGGCGAAAGCCUGACAGAGCAAUACCGCGUGAGGGAAGAAAGCCCACAGGGUUGUAAAC
rnacentral:rRNA from 1 species